rnacentral:rRNA from 1 species
UACGAAGGGGGCUAGCGUUGCUCGGAAUCACUGGGCGUAAAGCGCACGUAGGCGGAUUGCUAAGUCAGGGGUGAAAUCCUGGAGCUCAACUCCAGAACUGCCUUUGAUACUGGCGACCUUGAGUCCGGGAGAGGUGAGUGGAACUCCGAGUGUAGAGGUGAAAUUCGUAGAUAUUCGGAAGAACACCAGUGGCGAAGGCGGCUCACUGGCCCGGUACCGACGCUGAGGUGCGAAAGCGUGGGGAGCAAACAGG